AGAGUUUGAUCCUGGCUCAGGACGAACGCUGGCGGCGUGCUUAACACACGCAAGUCGAACGGUAAGGCCCUUCGGGGUACACGAGUGGCGAACGGGUGAGUAACACGUGGGUAAUCUGCCCUGCACAUCGGGAUAAGCCUGGGAAACUGGGUCUAAUACCGAAUAGGACCACAGGACACAUGUCCUGUGGUGGAAAGCUUUUGCGGUGUGGGAUGGGCCCGCGGCCUAUCAGCUUGUUGGUGGGGUGAUGGCCUACCAAGGCGACGACGGGUAGCCGGCCUGAGAGGGUGUCCGGCCACACUGGGACUGAGAUACGGCCCAGACUCCUACGGGAGGCAGCAGUGGGGAAUAUUGCACAAUGGGCGAAAGCCUGAUGCAGCGACGCCGCGUGGGGGAUGACGGCCUUCGGGUUGUAAACCUCUUUCACCAUCGACGAAGGUCCGGGUUUUCUCGGGCUGACGGUAGGUGGAGAAGAAGCACCGGCCAACUACGUGCCAGCAGCCGCGGUAAUACGUAGGGUGCGAGCGUUGUCCGGAAUUACUGGGCGUAAAGAGCUCGUAGGUGGUUUGUCGCGUUGUUCGUGAAAUCUCACGGCUUAACUGUGAGCGUGCGGGCGAUACGGGCAGACUUGAGUACUGCAGGGGAGACUGGAAUUCCUGGUGUAGCGGUGAAAUGCGUAGA
rnacentral:rRNA from 1 species